UACGUAGGUGGCAAGCGUUGUUCGGAAUUAUUGGGCGUAAAGGGCGCGUAGGCGGUUUGUUAAGUCGGUCGUGAAAGCCCGGGGCUCAACCCCGGAGGGGCGACCGAUACUGGCAGACUAGAGUACAGAAGAGGUAACUGGAAUUCCCGGUGUAGCGGUGAAAUGCGUAGACAUCGGGAGGAACACCAGAGGCGAAGGCGGGUUACUGGGCUGAUACUGACGCUGAGGAGCGAAAGCGUGGGGAGCGAACAGG
rnacentral:rRNA from 1 species